UGCGUAGGCGGAAUAAUAAGUCAGUGGUGAAAUCUUGCAGCUUAACUGUAAAAUUGCCAUUGAUACUGUUGUUCUUGAAUGUAGUUGAGGUAGGCGGAAUGUGUAAUGUAGCGGUGAAAUGCUUAGAUAUUACACAGAACACCAAUUGCGUAGGCAGCUUACUAAGCUAUUAUUGACGCUGAGGCACGAAAGCGUGGGGAGCGAACAGGAUUAGAUACCCUGGUAGUCC
rnacentral:rRNA from 1 species